UAUACUGUCACACCGUCACUGUUACAAGUAUUCUCAUGUAUGUUCCAGAAUUUUCUUGUUUUGUCCUGUCAUAGCCAUUGAAGAACAACAGCGGGAUUUUCGUUCAGCAUUCAUAGUACAUAAAGGGUGGUACGUCUUUGUACUGUAUCAUUAUUUAUGCAAAUUACAAUAAUUUUACGAGAAUUCAGACAGGUCAUGAAACGGUUCACAUGCUCUCGUGGUAUGUUCGAGUCUGUGUACAUUACAUCUUCCGGAUGCUACUCCGUGCGGUGUCUGAAUGGUGAGGAAAGUAUUGCGAUAAUAACAAAAGAUCCAAGUUGGUGAAUGAAGUAAACAAAGUAAGCUUGGGUGGAUGGUGGAAAAUAGCUGCCAAUCAAAAUAUUUGUUCCCAACGUAAUCCACAGUUUCCAACGAGAACUGGGCUGUACCCAACGUUAAUGUAGAAGAGCUCCGAAGGCUGUCAGCUGACCUUUUGCCACAAUCAAAACGACCUUGUGGUCGAGUAGGAUAAACACUUUCGGGUGUAAUCCAAUCAAUCCGGAAAUGAUUCCGGAUUAACAAGCCAUCCUUAGGUUUCAGAGCGCUCAAGCACGAAGGGUGUACCUACCGUAAAGGAUCCUUGAUGUGUAUAUACCGAUCGAGCGAAAUAGCGCACAGGUUUA